rnacentral:sRNA from 1 species
AUUUAGCCCCGAUAGGAGCGAUAUCCUUUUGUGUCCGCCGCGGCGGACACAAAAGAUAUAGCGGAUAGCGGGACUGAAG